GGGCCCAAUCAAAAUCGUAUCACAUUAUAAGUUUCGUCGAGACUGAUACAUGCGAUUUGCAAAAUCCAAACAACCUCUGAGACAGUAGUGAACUGAACCCAACUUAGAAUUUUAUCACUCAGAUAAACAAUGUAAUAAAUCGAAAAGAGAAUUAAAUAAGAACAAUGUACUACCAUGGGUAGCAAGUGAAAAGGGAGAAGAAAACUGGCAAAUUCAUCCGGCAACAAACAAGCAUAUUAUUUCAUGGAUCUAUGCAGUAGCAUAACUGGCAAUGGCUGUCCUAUCAGCCUUCAAAGUGCAGAAACAACAGAUAACAACCUUGAGCAAACAUCUCUCGACUCAACCACCACUGCAUCAAUCACCCGUGAGCUGCAAAACC
rnacentral:lncRNA from 1 species